CCCGCCUGUCACGCGGGUGACCCGGGUUCGAUCCCCGGCAACGGCG
rfam:Hordeum vulgare subsp. vulgare, WGS project CAJW01000000 data, contig: morex_contig_1558702